UUCACUUUGACCCCUCGCUCGCAUGCUACACAUCCGGGCUCCUGCUAGUAGUGAGGGGAAGAUGGCGGCCGCGACGGUGUUGGUUCCCGUAGAGUGGAUAAAGAACUGGGAGAAAACAGGGAGAGGCGAAUUUUUGCAUUUGUGUCGGAUUCUCAGUGAAAAUAAAAGCCAUGAUAGUUCGACUUACAGAGAUUUCCAGCAAGUUCUCUAUGAAUUAUCAUACCAUGUCAUUAAAGGGAACCUAAAGCAUGAACAGGCAUCUAAUGUUUUUAAUGACAUUAGUGAAUUUCGUGAGGAUUUGCCUUCCAUUCUUGCUGAUGUAUUCUGCAUACUAGAUAUUGAGACAAAUUGUUUAGAAGAAAAAAGCAAGAGAGACUAUUUUACACAAUUGGUAUUAGCGUGUUUGUAUUUAGUUUCAGACACAGUUCUAAAGGAACGCUUGGAUCCAGAAACAUUGGAAUCAUUAGGGCUUAUCAAACAAUCACAGCAAUUCAAUCAAAAGUCAGUUAAAAUCAAGACAAAACUCUUUUAUAAGCAGCAAAAAUUCAAUUUGUUAAGAGAAGAGAAUGAAGGCUAUGCCAAGCUGAUUGCUGAAUUGGGGCAAGAUUUAUCGGGAAAUAUUACUAGUGAUUUAAUCUUAGAAAAUAUCAAAUCUUUAAUAGGAUGCUUUAAUCUGGAUCCCAAUAGAGUUUUGGAUGUCAUUUUAGAAGUGUUUGAAUGCAGGCCAGAACAUGAUGACUUCUUUAUAUCUUUAUUAGAAUCUUACAUGAGUAUGUGUGAACCGCAAACACUGUGUCAUAUUCUUGGGUUCAAAUUCAAGUUUUACCAGGAACCAAGUGGAGAGACUCCUUCAUCCUUAUACAGAGUUGCAGCAGUGCUUCUACAAGUUAAUCUUAUUGAUUUAGAUGAUCUUUAUGUACAUCUUCUUCCAGCUGAUAAUUGCAUCAUGGAUGAACAUAAACGAGAAAUUGUGGAAGCUAAGCAAAUUGUUAGAAAACUUACAAUGGUUGUAUUGUCUUCUGAAAAAAUGGAUGAGCGAGAGAAAGAAAAGGAAAAAGAAGAUGAUAAAGUAGAAAAGCCACCUGAUAACCAAAAACUUGGUUUGUUGGAAGCCUUAUUAAAGAUUGGUGAUUGGCAGCAUGCACAGAACAUUAUGGAUCAGAUGCCUCCAUAUUAUGCUGCUUCGCAUAAGCUAAUAGCUCUUGCUAUUUGCAAGCUCAUUCACAUAACUAUUGAGCCUCUCUACCGAAGAGUUGGCGUUCCUAAAGGUGCUAAGGGCUCACCUGUUAAUGCUUUGCAAAAUAAGAGAGCACCAAAACAAGCAGAGAGCUUUGAAGAUUUGAGGAGAGAUGUCUUCAAUAUGUUCUGUUACCUUGGUCCUCACCUUUCUCAUGAUCCCAUUUUAUUUGCAAAAGUGGUGCGCAUAGGCAAAUCAUUUAUGAAGGAGUUUCAGUCUGAUGGAAGCAAACAAGAAGAUAAAGAGAAAACGGAAGUUAUCCUCAGCUGUUUGCUUAGCAUUACUGACCAGGUACUACUUCCAUCUCUUUCUUUGAUGGACUGCAAUGCUUGUAUGUCUGAGGAACUAUGGGGAAUGUUUAAAACAUUUCCAUAUCAGCACAGAUACCGUCUGUAUGGCCAGUGGAAGAAUGAAACUUACAACAGUCACCCACUUUUAGUAAAAGUUAAAGCUCAAACAAUAGAUAGAGCCAAAUAUAUCAUGAAGCGUCUAACCAAGGAAAAUGUGAAACCUUCUGGAAGACAGAUUGGGAAGCUUAGCCACAGCAAUCCAACCAUUUUGUUUGAUUAUAUUUUGUCACAAAUACAGAAGUAUGAUAACUUAAUAACACCUGUAGUAGAUUCACUGAAAUACCUCACUUCGUUGAAUUAUGAUGUCUUGGCCUAUUGUAUCAUUGAAGCUUUAGCUAAUCCAGAAAAAGAGAGAAUGAAACAUGAUGACACAACCAUCUCAAGCUGGCUUCAGAGUCUGGCUAGUUUCUGUGGUGCAGUUUUUCGUAAAUAUCCAAUUGAUCUUGCUGGUCUUCUUCAAUAUGUGGCUAAUCAGCUAAAGGCGGGCAAAAGUUUUGACCUGCUUAUAUUGAAAGAAGUGGUACAAAAAAUGGCAGGAAUAGAAAUUACAGAGGAAAUGACAAUGGAGCAACUAGAGGCCAUGACUGGUGGAGAGCAACUAAAAGCUGAGGGUGGUUAUUUUGGCCAGAUCAGAAACACUAAAAAAUCCUCCCAGAGAUUAAAGGAUGCACUAUUAGACCAUGAUCUUGCUCUUCCCCUCUGUUUGCUUAUGGCUCAGCAGAGGAAUGGGGUGAUCUUUCAAGAAGGUGGAGAGAAACAUUUGAAACUUGUGGGAAAGCUCUAUGAUCAGUGUCAUGAUACCCUGGUACAGUUUGGUGGGUUUUUAGCAUCUAAUUUAAGCACAGAAGAUUAUAUAAAGCGAGUGCCUUCAAUUGAUGUGCUCUGUAACGAAUUUCAUACACCCCAUGAUGCAGCAUUUUUCCUGUCUAGGCCAAUGUAUGCACACCAUAUUUCAUCCAAGUAUGACGAACUUAAAAAAUCAGAAAAGGGAAGUAAACAGCAACAUAAAGUUCACAAGUAUAUUACAUCAUGUGAAAUGGUGAUGGCCCCUGUCCAUGAAGCAGUGGUCUCCUUACAUGUUUCCAAAGUCUGGGAUGACAUCAGCCCUCAAUUCUAUGCCACAUUCUGGUCAUUGACAAUGUAUGACCUUGCAGUUCCACACACCAGCUAUGAACGGGAAGUCAGUAAACUUAAAGUCCAGAUGAAAGCAAUUGAUGACAAUCAGGAAAUGCCUCCAAAUAAAAAGAAAAAAGAGAAGGAGCGCUGUACUGCCCUUCAGGACAAACUUCUUGAAGAAGAAAAGAAACAGAUGGAACAUGUACAGCGAGUUCUACAGAGACUAAAACUGGAAAAGGACAACUGGCUUUUAGCAAAAUCUACCAAAAAUGAGACCAUCACAAAAUUUCUACAGCUGUGUAUAUUUCCUCGCUGUAUUUUUUCAGCAAUUGAUGCUGUUUACUGUGCCCGUUUUGUUGAAUUGGUACAUCAACAGAAAACUCCAAAUUUUUCCACACUUCUUUGUUAUGAUCGAGUUUUCUCUGAUAUAAUUUACACAGUUGCAAGUUGUACUGAAAAUGAAGCUAGUCGAUAUGGGAGAUUUCUUUGCUGCAUGUUAGAGACUGUAACCAGGUGGCACAGUGAUAGAGCCACAUAUGAAAAGGAAUGUGGAAAUUAUCCAGGAUUCCUUACUAUAUUACGGGCAACUGGAUUCGAUGGUGGAAAUAAAGCUGAUCAAUUAGACUAUGAAAAUUUUCGGCAUGUUGUACAUAAAUGGCAUUACAAACUAACCAAGGCAUCAGUACAUUGCCUUGAAACAGGCGAAUAUACUCACAUCAGGAAUAUCUUGAUUGUGCUAACAAAAAUACUUCCUUGGUACCCAAAAGUUUUGAAUCUGGGUCAGGCUUUGGAAAGAAGAGUGCAUAAAAUCUGCCAAGAAGAAAAAGAGAAGAGGCCUGAUCUAUAUGCAUUGGCUAUGGGCUACUCUGGGCAGUUGAAAAGUAGAAAGUCAUACAUGAUACCUGAAAAUGAGUUUCAUCACAAAGACCCCCCUCCGAGGAAUGCAGUUGCCAGUGUACAAAAUGGGCCUGGUGGUGGGUCUUCUUCAUCGUCCAUAGGAAGUGCAUCUAAAUCUGAUGAAAGCGGUGCUGAGGAGAAUGAUAAAUCAAGGGAGAGAUCUCAGUGUGGUGUGAAAGCUGUUAAUAAAGCUUCUAGUGCCACACCAAAAGGGAAUUCAAGCAAUGGAAAUAGUGGCUCUAACAGCAGCAAAACCGUUAAAGAAAAUGACAAAGAAAAAGGGAAAGAGAAAGAAAAAGAGAAAAAAGAAAAGACUCCAGCUACUACUCCAGAGGCCAGGGUACUUGGUAAAGAUGGUAAAGACAAACCGAAGGAAGAACGACCAAAUAAAGAUGAAAAAGCAAGAGAGACGAAGGAAAGAACGCCUAAGUCUGACAAAGAGAAAGAAAAAUUCAAGAAGGAAGACAAAGCUAAAGAUGAGAAAUUCAAGACCACUGUCCCCAACGUAGAAUCAAAAUCGACUCAAGAAAAGGAAAGAGAGAAGGAGCCAUCCAGAGAAAGAGAUAUAGCAAAGGAAAUGAAAUCAAAGGAAAAUGUAAAAGGAGGAGAAAAAACUCCAGUUUCUGGGUCCUUGAAGUCACCUGUUCCCCGAUCAGAUAUUACUGAGCCUGAAAGGGAACAAAAACGCCGCAAAAUUGAUACCCAUCCUUCUCCAUCACAUUCCUCAACAGUAAAGGUUACAGCCAUAUCUCCCAAAGUUCUUCUGGGUUCUGAGAACUAUGCCAGCUCACCUGUCAUCUCCAUUCAUUUUCUACAGGACAGUCUCAUCGAACUCAAGGAGUCUUCAGCAAAGCUCUACCUUAAUCAUACUCCUUCACCACUGUCCAAGAGUAAGGAGAGAGAAAUGGACAAGAAAGAUUUGGACAAGUCAAGGGAAAGAUCCAGAGAAAGAGAGAAAAAAGAUGAAAAGGACAGGAAGGAACGGAAAAGGGAUCACUCAAACAAUGACCGUGAAGUGCUACCGGACUUAACCAAGAGGCGAAAAGAGGAAAAUGGAACAAUGGCGGUUUCAAAACACAAAAGUGAAAGCCCAUGUGAGUCUCCUUAUCCAAAUGAGAAAGACAAGGAAAAAAAUAAGUCCAAAUCUUCAGGCAAAGAAAAAGGCGGUGAUUCAUUUAAAUCAGAAAAAAUGGAUAAAAUCUCCUCCAGUGGCAAAAAGGAGUCCAGGCAUGAUAAAGAAAAGAUAGAAAAGAAAGAGAAACGGGACAGUUCAGGAGGAAAGGAAGAGAAGAAACAAUAUCCUUUUCAUCUUAUUGAUGCUUUUAAUCAGUGAAAUGGAAAGCUUUGAUACUGUUCAUGUUUAGAAUUGUACACUUGUAGUAUGUGCUCUAAAUGCUUAAGAGCCUCUUAGCUUUUAAAUGGUCUCUCCAGUUAAUCCUCUCAAAUAUAAGAAAUGUGGAAGUGGGAGAAUUGAUAUGUUUUUUAAACUUCUUUGUUGACUGAGGUUGUCUUAUGCCACCAAGGGAUUUUGGAGUCCUUCUGUCUGUAUUAUCAUUGAGAGGAAGAAAAAGAACAGAGUCCUUUGGGCUGGGAGCAUGGGGAAUUGAAGGGCAAGAUGAUGCAGCAGACAAGCAGAGCUGGUAGAGUUUGAGGCUACCAGCUAGUUAGAGCCAAAUAGGCCUGCAAGCUAAGGGAUUGUACUAAAAGAUGAGACACCAUUCUUUUUUCCCUAGUUUUCCCCUUAAUUUGUCAUCUACUCAUAAGUCCUCGGACAAACACAGAUAAUGAAGACUUUCCAUCAAGGGUAUGGACAGAUCCCUAAGCUGAAGGUCUCCCAGAGGAGGAUGCCAAAGCUACAUGCGUCACUCUCAGAACGAUAUCACCCAUAAUUAAGAGCUUCUGGUGCUGUCCAUUUAAUGGGAAUCUGCUUUAAGUCAGAAGAUGAAUACACACCACCAUCCUCUUGAUGAGACAUUCCAAAGUCACUGAUUUUCAGAACAUUAUUUUCACCUCCAGACAGUUCCUUGCAGCAAGGUCCCUGUGUAUACAAUUUUUACUCGAAAUUCACCAUCCAGAAGCAGCAUCUAAUGAAAAUUUCACUGUUCUAUUAGUUCAUCCUUCUUUUCAGAAAGGAGAGGAAAUCGCCUCCUGGAACCAGUUCCUUAAUGAUGUAGAUAGACUGCAUUUGUGUGUGAACUCCUAUUUGAAAAUAUUGGGAUGAUUGUAUUGCUUGAGGAUUUUGGCCUCUUGUAAAAAUUUUUAAUUUCAUCUUUACAAGUGGGAAAGAUCAUCAUUACAUUUUUACAGCAAUAGCAGUUUUAUCUUUUAACCCUUAAAUAUAUCACCAAAUUUUCCCUUGCUCAGUAAUACUCCUGUUGUGACUGACAUCUUCAUGACUAAGAACCUAUUUCUUUUUCUAGUUAUGGCCGUCAUGAUACUCUUAAUUGGAACAUUGACUUUUUUGCUAUUAAGAAAAUGAAAUGAAAUGCACAAAGCAUAAAACUUGCCAUUUUAAAAUGGUUUUUACUAUUCAGUAUGCUGUAUAACCAUCACCACUAAUUCCAGAACAUUUCUAUCACCCCCCACCUGUUAGCAGUUGCUCCCAAUUCUCCCUUCCCCCAGCUCCUGGAAAUGUUAUACUUUCUAUCUCUAUAAAGUUGCCUGUUUUGGACAUUUUAUAAAAAUGUACUUAUGCAACAUGUGACCUUUUGUGUCUGGCUUCUUUCACAUAAAGUUAUGAAUUCAAUGUUCAUCCAUGAUAUAUAUAGCAUGUAUCAGAACUUCAUUUUUUUAAUUAACUGAAUAAUAUUCCAUUGUAUGAAUGUGUACCAUAUUUUGUUUAUCCAUCCAUCAGUUAUGGACAGGAACAAUGAUUUUUAAGUAUUAAAUUGUAAGUUCAACAUUAGUGUAUCCACAAUUAUAAUUAUGAUAUUAAGAUUAUACCUGAUGUGAACAGAAUGCUGUAUAGAAAUGAUAUGUAAAUUAUUUGUCAGCAUUUCAUGGAAGUGUGAUUAUUUUUUAAAGCUCUCCUAGCUCUGGUUUUAUGAAAUAUGUGAAUGUAGUAUUUUCAUCAAUAAAGUUUAAUGCGUUAAGCAUUAGUUUAAAAAUAAAUGAGAAAAAUGUUAGGCAGAUAAGUUAUUUGCCACAUGUUGUAAUGAUUAUGUUCUGAAUUUAUUUCAUUAUGCAGUAUUUGAAAAAUGUCAAUACAUAAAGGAAAGGAAAUAAGUAUAAUUAAGUCAAUAUAUUUUUAAAGCAAUUUUUAUAAUUUAGCAGACAUUGCAUCUUAAUAUAAGUCACUAUUAAAAUCAUGCCCUUGUGAAAAA